CUUAUAAUGUGUGCUUUUGUUUUAAAUAGCAAUAAGUGCAAAUACACAUACACAUAUGCGCGCACAAUUAAAAGCACAUUUCAGCUUAGUGUCGGCAAAUGAUAACAAUAUUACUAUUAUUUAUUUUGUCGCGUCACACGCGCGUACCAGGCAAACUCGAGCUUGUGUAUGACAUUCUCAUUUGCGCAAGGCCUACAAAACUCACUCACUACCCCCAAAACCAAAUUAAAUGAAUGUUAU